UCUUAUGCCCAACAAGCUUCAGAUUAAUUUGUUGAAGUACUUACUUAUUUUUAUUUACAUAACCUUUUAUACUUUUGUUUAACAUGGGUAGAUAUAAUUGAUUACAUGUAUAUUCUUUUUGUGUGUCUAGCCAUUUUUGGUUGUUCAUUAUUUGUUGAAAACUUUUAUCUCCAUUAAAUUAGACUUUAAACAAAAUGUGUCAUAAAUUACAUUUAAUUAAAAGAACAUGUAUUAUUUUUUUUGCGUUUUAAAAUACUUUAUAUAUUUUAGAAAUUCGAUGUUUAACAUAUACAAGCUUAGAAAAGUUGAAAAAGAUAACAAACUAUCAUUUUUUUUAUUAGUAUUAAUAAUAAAUAAUAAUUUUUUUUUAUUAUUUAUGGGUGACCGAUUAUGUGAUACGUUUACGGGUCUAUUGUAAGAACCUCUUUUUUUAGUGGUGGGGACACCCACUUAUUGCAUUAUGAGAAUGCAAUUAUUGGCAGAGGGGGAGAUCAUCAUCAUCUUCAUCCUGACACCUUAUCCCACGGCCAAAAACAACCUAUCACCUUCAUCCUCCUUCACACCAUCUUCAACAUCCUAAACUCACGGCCAACAUCCAUCAUCAAUCAUUAUCCGUUCUCCUCCGCAGGACCUUAGGCCACCAUCCUUGGCAGCCACCACUCCUCAUCCUCAAAACCACCAUCACCCACCUCAUUGCCUUCCUCCAAUCCAAAACAUCUUCAAGAACCGUGAGGAGACCUGUGAGCAGCAAAAGCGUUUCCAACUUUAGCGUCUGCCGAUCGGUGAUGUCUCAGGUCCAGCUGUAGGACGCGGCGGUGUGGCAUCGGAGGCAGCGGUAGCCGCGAACGGGGGGUAGUGUCGGUGCAUGUGGUGGAGACGAACCCCUCCCUGGCCUGCCGGUGUCGGAGAAAGCAGUUGGGUUCAAUGACACAGCGGCGAGGAGACUGGCAGAGAGGGGUGGCGUGGUGGCGGUUUUGUCACGGUGGUUGGUUGGGCAGCGUCUGGCUGCAGCUGACGGUGGCCGCUGAAAAAGUGGUGUGUAUGCGUGACUGGGUGGAGGAACUUCGUUGGUUGCCUUGGAAGAGAGACUCUAGGUUUUGUGUUUGAAUGAGAAGGUGUGAGAGUGAAGUUGUUGCAGAGAAAUAACUCUAGGAAAGGAAGUCUUCAAGAGAUGAAGGAUUGUCGCGGGAUCAUGUGCACACGAAGGAAGAGAUGGAAGAACAACUUAGAGGGAUUCAAUGUUAUAGUUAUAGUUAGACCUGAACUUAAGUUAUAUGUUUAGACUUAAGUAUGAGAUUACGGAGUAUUACCGUAAAUGUAUUAUUGCUAUAUUUAAAUUUUGAAUUCUUUUAAAGGGAGAAUUUUUGGGAUGUUACAUCUAUUAACUUUCUACACUGCAUUUAAUACUUUCUUUGAGUUUGGAUUCA